rnacentral:rRNA from 1 species
UACGUAGGGUGCAGGCGUUGUCCGGAUUUAUUGGGCGUAAAGAGCGUGUAGGCGGCCAUGUAGGUCCGUUGUGAAAACUCGAGGCUCAACCUCGAGACGCCGAUGGAAACCAUGUGGCUAGAGUCCGGAAGAGGAGAGUGGAAUUCCUGGUGUAGCGGUGAAAUGCGCAGAUAUCAGGAAGAACACCCGUGGCUAAGGCGGCUCACUGGUCCGGUACUGACGCUGAGGUGCGAAAGCGUGGGGAGCAAACAGG